rnacentral:tRNA from 1 species
AGCCGAUUAGUGUAAUGGCAACACGGUUGAUUCUGACUCAACAGUUUUAGGUUCAAAUCCUAAGUCGGCUG